rnacentral:rRNA from 1 species
AUUGAACGCUGGCGGCAGGCCUAACACAUGCAAGUCGAACGAGUGGCGGACGGGUGAGUAAUGUCUGGGAACUUCCUGGAGGGAGGGGGAUAACUACGGAAAACGGUAGCAAAUCCCGCAUACAUUCAGAUGUGCCCAAAUGGGAUUAGCUUGUUGGUGGGGAAAGGGCUCACCAAGGCGACGAUCCCUAGCUGGUCUUAGAGGAUGACCAGCCACACUGGAACUGAGACACGGUCCAGACUCCUACGGGAGGCAGCAGUGGGGAAUAUUGCACAAUGGGCGCAAGCCGGAUGCAGCCAUGCCGCGUGUAUGAAGAAGGCCUUCGGGUUGUAAAGUACUUUCAGCGGGGAGGCGUUACCCGCAGAAGAAGCACCGGCUAACUCCGUGCCAGCAGCCGCGGUAAUUC